CAUGGAGACCGUGAGAGGGCCUGAGGCGUCCUCAGACUUGAGAGAAAAAGGAAAAGAAGGGAAAGAAAAAGGAUAUAAACCUGCCCAGGUUCGAGGAAAGAGCAGAGAUGGGUUGGUAGAACAACCAGUUCGAACAGUACUUUCCAGCUGUCCAAGCCGGUGGUCCGUUAUGGAAUCAUUAAGAAACUGAAGCAAUCUGCUGAACUGAGAUAAAGGUUUUCCGACACCAUGGCUUUUCACUACAACGAAGCCUUUGAGAACGCGGAGUAUCCUUCCUCUGAGUCCCUGGAGGCAGAUGACCCAGGCUAUCACUAUGCGGAAACACUGGAGAUUGACCGAAUGAGAUCUGCUGAAAGAAGCACUUCUUUCCAUUACAACCCCUACGAUUCCUCUGCCUACAAUUCCUAUGGAGAGCACAACGAGGAAAGGACACGGAGGCAGAAUCCCUCCAUUCAUAUACCCAUGAACUCAAGGCGGAUUCCGGAUUCCAGUAGCGAGUACGGAUUAAGAGAUUCUUCAUUUGGAACGCCCAGUUCAAAUCCAUAUGGAAAUGCACAUGGUACGUAACUGUAGUGUGUAUGUGUGUGAGAAAAAGAGAGAAUGGGGAGAGGCUGAUUGAGAUACGAAGAUUCACACUCAAUUUCUACUCUUGACUGGAUGGACUAUGUAGGGGAAGGGCUAGUGGGACUGAAGCACAACCCAAGGACUAGCCAAGCCUGGCUUUGUUUAGAUUAAAAGUCAUGAUUCUCAAAGUGUGCUCUGGGG
rnacentral:lncRNA from 11 species